CUGGCGCAGAGAAGCUGGGCGGGUGGCGAGGCUGAGGAGUGAGGAGACUCUCAGCUCAGUGUUCCGUGGGUCGUCUGUGUGGGAGGACGUACUCGGCCGCUCCAGCACGCAUCUUCACUGGCCGUCACACCUCGGAAUAAAGUUUCGUUUUAUUGCGAGUGGCAGUGACCGGCGGAGGAAAAAAGUUAAGCCAGUCUUGUUUUUUUUUUUUAUCUUUUUUUUUUUUUUUUUACGGUAAAGGAAUCUGAUCCUUCUCCCGACGCGUCUGUUGGACUACAGUGGAACGCUGUACGAGUGAUUACAACUUUUUAUAGUUUGCUGAGGUGUGAAAUAUCCGUGGUGAGAAUUCCACGAGAGACGGGGAGACGGAGAGAGGGGGAGAGAGAGAGAGAGAGAGAGAAAAAAAAGGACUAAAGUGGCAAGUUUUGAACGUGAGAAGAGAACGUAGAAAGAGAAAGAGAGAGAGAAAGAGAGAGAGAAAGAGAGAACCUUGUGAGGAACGUUGAAGGUUUAAGUGGCGGAGCGAAAGGUCUGAAACGGAGGAGGAAGAGGAGAAGGAAGAAGAGGAGGAGGAGGAGAAGAGAGCAAGGUGUAGGAGGCUGCACCAACAAGACUGCCACUGUUAAGGAGCAUAAAUAUUCAGCGUGCGUAUCAGUGUGCGGUGCAAGACAACAGUGCCAGGUCAGUGCCAAAAAGGAACCGUGGCACUGGGAAAUAUCUGACUAAUAUCCUGCAAUACCUCUGUAAAGAAAGGAAUACACAAGAUAACAGUGUUGGGAGAGUGCCAGAUCAGUGCCAGCAGAACCGAGGCACUGGGAAACUUUUGACCCCUCUCCUGCAGUGCCUCAGCAAACAAAAACAAAUAACAGUGCCAGGAAAGUACUGAAUCGGUGCCGAAUUACAAAUCGAGGCACCGGGGACUUCUAAACCAACCUCCUGCUGCUGUUAAGUGGUAAACAAGCAGAGGAAGAUAAUAGUGCCAACAGACUGCCUAAUAAGAGCUGAAUUAAAACCAAGGCACUGGGGACUUUUAAACCAUCCUCCUGCAGCGGCUGAGUGGUAAACAAGCGAGGGAAUAAAGGAUAAGAGUGGUAAACAAGCAAAGGAAUAAAGGAGAGUGACUGCCAGUGCCAGCGACAGGGGGCAAGAGGGAGAGAGAGCGCGGAACUUCCUCUAUCUGGCUCAACUAUUUUCUCCCUCACAAAGUUCUGAAUUGCGAGGCGGCGCGGCGGUGAUAAGCGGCCCCAAAACAACCUGAAGAGGACGAUAAUCGCUGGCAUUACCAACUUUCCCGCCAGAAUCAGACGACUCAAUUGAAAACGUGAGAAAUCGAGGCGACCACGACCCCGCCACCACCACCACGACCCCACCACGACCCACGGCGAGGUGAGGGUGAGAGUGAGGGCGUGUGGGUGAGGGAAAGUACCUCAUACGUCCUCUCACACCCCGGAGAAAGAGAAAAAGGAAGGGAGAGAGAGAGAGAUAAAGAGAGACUUGUGCGUUGAAGUACCACGUCUCGAUUCCCCUUCAAGAGAGAGAGAGAGAGAGAGAGAGAGAGAGAGAGAGAGAGAGAGAGAGAGAGAGAGAGAGAGAGAGAGA